GUCGGUCUCGUGCCUCCUGCUCGCGCCAGCGUCGUCACGUGAGGACUUCUUUGAACUCCUCUGCAAAGUGGGUUUGGCGCGGUUUUUAUCCAGUCAGGAGGAGGAUUUCUGUCUGCGGAGGUCGUGAUCCAGGACGAAUGAGGACGAGCUUUAGGACCCCUCAGAUUGAUUUUGUGACCCUUUGGAGGGGCCCGACCCCUAGGUUUGGAACCACUGGACUUAGACC